rnacentral:rRNA from 1 species
AAUGGAGGAAGAACCAACAGGGAUUGCCCCAGUAACGGCGAGUGAAGCGGCAACAGCUCAAAUUUGAAAUCUGGCCCCUCCGGGUCCGAGUUGUAAUUUGUAGAGGAUGCUUUUGGUGAGGUGCCGCCCGAGUUCCCUGGAACGGGACGCCACAGAGGGUGAGAGCCCCGUCUGGCUGGCCACCGAGCCUCUGUAAAGCUCCUUCGACGAGUCGAGUAGUUUGGGAAUGCUGCUCAAAAUGGGAGGUAUAUGUCUUCUAAAGCUAAAUAUUGGCCAGAGACCGAUAGCGCACAAGUAGAGUGAUCGAAAGAUGAAAAGCACCUUGAAAAGAGGGUUAAACAGUACGUGAAAUUGUUGAAAGGGAAGCGCUUGUGACCAGACUUGGGCGCGGCGGAUCAUCCGGGGUUCUCUCCGGUGCACUUCGCCGCGUUCAGGCCAGCAUCAGUUCGUCGCGGGGGAAAAAGGCUUCGGGAACGUGGCUCCUCCGGGAGUGUUAUAGCCCGUUGCAUAAUACCCUGCGGUGGACUGAGGACCGCGCAUCUGCAAGGAUGCUGGCGUAAUGGUCACCAGCGACCCGUCUUGAAACACGGACCAAGGAGUCGUCUUCGUAUGCGAGUGUUCGGGUGUCAAACCCCUACGCGUAAUGAAAGUGAACGCAGGUGAGAGCUUCGGCGCAUCAUCGACCGAUCCUGAUGUUCUCGGAUGGAUUUGAGUAAGAGCAUACGGGGCCGGACCCGAAAGAAGGUGAACUAUGCCUGUAUAGGGUGAAGCCAGAGGAAAACUCUGGUGGAGGCUCGCAGCGGUUCUGACGUGCAAAUCGAUCGUCAAAUAUGGGCAUGGGGGCGAAAGACUAAUCGAACCUUCUAGUAGCUGGUUUCCGCCGAAGUUUCCCUCAGGAAGGACAAACAAC